UACGUAGGGUGCGAGCGUUAAUCGGAAUUACUGGGCGUAAAGCGUGCGCAGGCGGUUAUUUAAGUCAGGUGUGAAAGCCCUAGGCUUAACCUAGGAAUUGCGCUUGAGACUGGAUAGCUUGGAGUGCGACAGAGGGAGGUGGAAUUCCACGUGUAGCAGUGAAAUGCGUAGAGAUGUGGAGGAACACCGAUGGCGAAGGCAGCCUCCUGGGCCAGCACUGACGCUCAUGCACGAAAGCGUGGGGAGCGAAACAAGG
rnacentral:rRNA from 1 species